AGUGAACGCUGGCGGUAUGCCUAACACAUGCAAGUCGAACGGCAGCACAGUAAGAGCUUGCUCUUACGGGUGGCGAGUGGCGGACGGGUGAGGAAUACAUCGGAAUCUACUUUUUCGUGGGGGAUAACGUAGGGAAACUUACGCUAAUACCGCAUACGACCUACGGGUGAAAGCAGGGGAUCUUCUGACCUUGCGCGAUUGAAUGAGCCGAUGUCGGAUUAGCUAGUUGGCGGGGUAAAGGCCCACCAAGGCGACGAUCCGUAGCUGGUCUGAGAGGAUGAUCAGCCACACUGGAACUGAGACACGGUCCAGACUCCUACGGGAGGCAGCAGUGGGGAAUAUUGGACAAUGGGCGCAAGCCUGAUCCAGCCAUACCGCGUGGGUGAAGAAGGCCUUCGGGUUGUAAAGCCCUUUUGUUGGGAAAGAAAAGCAGCAGGUUAAUACCCCGCUGUUCUGACGGUACCCAAAGAAUAAGCACCGGCUAACUUCGUG
rnacentral:rRNA from 1 species